UGCAGUCGAGCGGACAGAAGGGAGCUUGCUCCCGGAUGUUAGCGGCGGACGGGUGAGUAACACGUGGGUAACCUGCCUGUAAGACUGGGAUAACUCCGGGAAACCGGAGCUAAUACCGGAUAGUUCCUUGAACCGCAUGGUUCAAGGAUGAAAGACGGUUUCGGCUGUCACUUACAGAUGGACCCGCGGCGCAUUAGCUAGUUGGUGGGGUAAUGGCUCACCAAGGCGACGAUGCGUAGCCGACCUGAGAGGGUGAUCGGCCACACUGGGACUGAGACACGGCCCAGACUCCUACGGGAGGCAGCAGUAGGGAAUCUUCCGCAAUGGACGAAAGUCUGACGGAGCAACGCCGCGUGAGUGAUGAAGGUUUUCGGAUCGUAAAGCUCUGUUGUUAGGGAAGAACAAGUGCGAGAGUAACUGCUCGCACCUUGACGGUACCUAACCAGAAAGCCACGGCUAACUACGUGCCAGCAGCCGCGGUAAUACGUAGGUGGCAAGCGUUGUCCGGAAUUAUUGGGCGUAAAGGGCUCGCAGGCGGUUUCUUAAGUCUGAUGUGAAAGCCCCCGGCUCAACCGGGGAGGGUCAUUGGAAACUGGGAAACUUGAGUGCAGAAGAGGAGAGUGGAAUUCCACGUGUAGCGGUGAAAUGCGUAGAGAUGUGGAGGAACACCAGUGGCGAAGGCGACUCUCUGGUCUGUAACUGACGCUGAGGAG
rnacentral:rRNA from 1 species